rnacentral:rRNA from 1 species
GUACCAGACUCCUACGGGAGGCAGCAGUGGGGAAUAUUGGGCAAUGGACGCAAGUCUGACCCAGCAACGCCGCGUGAAGGAAGAAGGCUUUCGGGUUGUAAACUUCUUUUAAGGGGGAAGAGCAGAAGACGGUACCCCUUGAAUAAGCCACGGCUAACUACGUGCCAGCAGCCGCGGUAAUACGUAGGGGGCAAGCGUUAUCCGGAUUUACUGGGUGUAAAGGGAGCGUAGACGGCAGUGCAAGUCUGGAGUGAAAGCCCGGGGCCCAACCCCGGGACUGCUUUGGAAACUGUGUAACUAGAGUACAGGAGGGGCAGGCGGAAUUCCUGGUGUAGCGGUGAAAUGCGUAGAUAUCAGGAGGAACACCGGCGGCGAAGGCGGCCUGCUGGACUGAAACUGACGUUGAGGCUCGAAAGCGUGGGGAGCAAACAGGAUUAGAUACCCUCGUA